rnacentral:rRNA from 1 species
GACGAACGCUGGCGGCGUGCCUAAUACAUGCAAGUAGAACGCACGGUUUAUACCGUAGCUUGCUACACCAUAAACUGUGAGUUGCGAACGGGUGAGUAACGCGUAGGUAACCUGCCUGGUAGCGGGGGAUAACUAUUGGAAACGAUAGCUAAUACCGCAUAAUAUUGAUUAUUGCAUGAUAAUUGAUUGAAAGAUGCUAUUGCAUCACUACCAGAUGGACCUGCGUUGUAUUAGCUAGUAGGUGGGGUAACGGCUCACCUAGGCGACGAUACAUAGCCGACCGGAGAGGGUGAUCGGCCACACUGGGACUGAGACACGGCCCAGACUCCUACGGGAGGCAGCAGUAGGGAAUCUUCGGCAAUGGACGAAAGUCUGACCGAGCAACGCCGCGUGAGUGAAGAAGGUUUUCGGAUCGUAAAGCUCUGUUGUAAGAGAAGAACGGGUGUGAGAGUGGAAAGUUCACACUGUGACGGUAUCUUACCAGAAAGGGACGGCUAACUACGUG